rnacentral:rRNA from 1 species
GAUGAACGCUGGCGGCGUGCCUAAUAUAUGCAAGUCGAGCGAACAGACGAGGAGCUUGCUCCUCUGACGUUAGCGGCGGACGGGUGAGUAACACGUGGAUAACCUACCUAUAAGACUGGGAUAACUUCGGGAAACCGGAGCUAAUACCGGAUAAUAUAUUGAACCGCAUGGUUCAAUAGUGAAAGACGGUUUUGCUGUCACUUAUAGAUGGAUCCGCGCCGCAUUAGCUAGUUGGUAAGGUAACGGCUUACCAAGGCGACGAUGCGUAGCCGACCUGAGAGGGUGAUCGGCCACACUGGAACUAGGACACGGUCCAGACUCCUACGGGAGGCAGCAGUAGGGAAUCUUCCGCAAUGGGCGAAAGCCUGACGGAGCAACGCCGCGUGAGUGAUGAAGGUCUUCGGAUCGUAAAACUCUGUUAUUAGGGAAGAACAAAUGUGUAAGUAACUAUGCACGUCUUGACGGUACCUAAUCAGAAAGCCACGGCUAACUACGUG